rnacentral:rRNA from 1 species
CCAUGGGAGUGGGUUGCAAAAGAAGUAGGUAGCUUAACCUUCGGGAGGGCGCUUACCACUUUGUGAUUCAUGACUGGGGUGAAGUCGUAACAAGGUAACCGUAGGGGAACCUGCGGUUGGAUCACCUCCUUACCUAAAGA